rnacentral:misc_RNA from 1 species
GUGAAUCAUCGAAUCUUUGAACGCAUAUUGCGCCUUUUUCGGAAGGCAUGUCUGUUUGAGGGCACCAUUUAACAAAUAAUGUUCAUUUCUUUUGCACACGUUGAUUAGCUUUCCAGAAUUAUGUAUUAUUGUUUUUGGUGGCUCAUAAUAAACAGCGCGAUGCUUUUUUUCAGUUCGAGUGGAGUAAAAUUUUUUCUUGCUUUGGUUGUGAAAAUCGUGAUCGCGCAAUGGGUGUUGCGAUUCUACUAACCCUGCCCCAACGCCACUCUUUCUCUCGCAAGAAUGUUAAUCUUCAGUGCC